GUAACAACCACAUUGCUGUCGUUUAUUUAGCUUGUUUUUCGACUUUGCGCUUGGCGUGGCUGCCGCAGCCGCUGCCGAAGCGCGUGCCCUGCAAUUAUUUUUUUUUUUUUGCAUUAACUUGUGCGUUUGAACUCAUCUGUGAAUGUGCGUUUUAUAUAAAGUCAAAUCGUAGUUGGCUACGCUUGUUGAAAGUUGAAAAUAUACUGCCAGGCACAGGCACAAGCAUUCUUCUAAAAGUCGACAGCUCGCGCCCGUGUGUAUCUACAUACAUACAUAUAUAUCGUGCCUCGCUUGUGCCGUCGCGUUCCGCGUACCUUGCCAUACGUUUACUAAUCCAGUGACCUUCGCUUUGGGGUUUUUUUCUUUUGCAUUUGCAGGGCAGCAACGACAGAGCCUCCAGAUCGCCGCGUUCGGAUGACCAGCGCGAUAUCGGCGAGAUGCCAGUCACAAAGCGUUCACGCUCGGACUCGGUAAUUGCAGACUUCAUAAACGCACGAUGAUCUCAAGUGAGGUGAGAAUUGACAUCGAUCAAGAGAUGCCGCCCCCCAAAAUAGAGUAUUGCCAAUAACAACUGCUACUACCAAGAUACAUCAGCACCCGAUACGGGAACGAAUUGCAUUUAAUUGCUUUUAACAACAUUUUUUGCCGAUUUCAACGUCCACGUCGCGGUUCCCGCACUCGAGCUGCUUCGUCGUCGUCGUCGUCGUCGCCUCCGUCUCCGUCUCCCGCCUUCAUAUGUGCUGCGACAACGCGUUGGACUGAUCCGCCCCACAGCCAGAAUUAGUCGUUUUUUUUAUUGUUUUUUUUUACUAUAUUUAAUUAUCAACAUUGAAGUUGGGCGCGUGUCUUUUCGUGUCACGACCAUUGAAAAUUUCGUGAGUGUCAGUGUUGAGCAGUAGUUAAAAGUGACGUUAAUUUUUGAAAUUGCAAAUGUACCAAAUGAAGACAAUAUUUUCCAAAUUGAAAAACAUCACUUUUUAAAAGGGAAUGAAUUAAUUAUUAAAAACACAUAAUUAUUGCUUGUUAUUCAUAACAAAUCAACAAAUUGUCCGAUAGGCCAAAGAGAGCUACUGUUAAAUCUAAAUAUGUAUAUAAAUUUAUGCAUAUUUAUAUGUGAUCUCCAAAUGAUUUAAAAUAUAUAGAAGCUUUAUUAGUUAGCCGCGCAAUCAAAAACCCAACGUGAAAUAUUUAAAGUAAAAUAUACACAUAGUACAUACACAUAUAUAUGACAAAAUCACACACAACACAUACAUACACACACCAACACACACACACACACACAACAUGAUUAAGGUACGGCGGAAAAACUUAACCAACUUAAAAACAUAUUGUUGCUCUUAUUAUCGUUUCAGCGUCUUGUUUUCUUUUUAUUUUUCUCUUUUUUAUCACUGAGCAAUGUAAUGUGUGACCCUUCAAGUCAAUAUACCACGCCCCCAACUCAUGGAAACCGUAUCGAAACGCACAUAUAUAAGGUCGCUUAUAAUUUCUAUUUUUAUAAUACAUUUACAGGAAUUGUGCACACCGUUAUGCCAGCUUUCCAACACUGUACACAACGUUGAUAACUAUUGAAUUUUGACUUCAGUUCGUUUUGUAAGCCCUGGGGUGUUGAACCUAUUUUUUGUUACAGUGUGCACAGUUCUUGGGUAUUUUCUUCUUUGGUUUCGAUUUGUGCGGCGACGAUUUGCCGGCUGGAUGUCCGUUGGAAGAGCUUUAAAUGAUAUUUCGAUUGAUAUACUCGCUAUAACUGCAUUUAUCUCUAAUCUACGCACACACACACACACCACUCACACACACACACACAGUCGUACUUUUAUUAGCACAGCCUACGUAUACUUAGAAAUAUUAGGCUAAUUUAUGUCUUAUUUUUACGGGUGCUUUCUUUUUAAUCUUGCAUUUUCCAGCUUUUACGAAUGACAAAUCAAAUGCCUUGCAGUCCGUCAGGCAAUAUCCUAUAUCCAUUUACGUAAAUUCAAAUCAUUUAUUUAAUUCAAAAACAUAAACUAACGAGGCAAAAGACGAAAUACUAAGUGUUGUUAGUACGCAAAAAAUACCGAUAAACGAUAACAGUUUGAAAAAAAUACUGCAUUUAAACGUAACGAGUAAUGUGCAUCGACAGCUUUUAAUUGUCAUAUUGUGUUGUAGCCUCUCGAAUCUCUGUGACUGAAUCAUCUGCCGGUUGGCAAUUGGCCCGCGCACAAGCAGUUCCAGAUCUUCUCCAGAACGCACACAAACACACACGCACACAUACACACACAGUUACAUAUAUGUAUAAACUACUACAAUAUAUGUAUGUAGUUUCUUCGCCGGCCAGCAAAACUGUUGAUUAUGAUUAAUGAUUUUUUUUCUAUUUUUUCCUUUUUGUCUUUUAUCUUUCUUGCAGGCAUCGGUUUUUUGUUUGUGUCGCUUCAAAUGCCAACUCGCGCACCAUUGCCUUGGCCCGAUUGCUGUGCCCCUCCUCGCUUGGUGAUGGUCACAGCAAUUGGGCCAACUCUGGUCUCGAGCUGCUGCUGGAGUCGACACAGACCUCAUAAAAAGAAAACAAAAAUCAAAUCAAAACGAAUCAAAGAAAAAAGUCGUAUAAAAAACCAAAUUGCUUAAACGAUCCGCUUAGCGCUGAUCGGUUCGAUGAUGAGCCCAUUGUCAUCAUAUCAUAUGAGAUACACUAAUCUGUCCUCCCAAUUCUAGGCAAGUCAGCGGACACGAAAAUUCCCUACCUUUCGCAGCCACUGUAUGAUCUGAAACAGACGGGCGAUGUGAAAUUCGGACCU